rnacentral:rRNA from 1 species
UACGAAGGGGGCUAGCGGUGUUCGGAAUUACUGGGCGUAAAGCGCACGCAGGCGGAUUGGUAAGUCAGGGGUGAAAUCCCGGGGCUCAACCUCGGAAUUGCCUUUGAUACUGCCAAUCUUGAGUCCGGGAGAGGUGAGUGGAAUUCCUAGUGUAGAGGUGAAAUUCGUAGAUAUUAGGAAGAACACCAGUGGCGCAGGCGGCUCACUGGUCCGGUACUGACGCUGAGGUGCGAAAGCGUGGGGAGCAAACAGG